CACCCAUUUUAGCUUGGCACCACUGUUAACACAUUAAGAGAGAUUUCAGUAGAGUCACCAUGUUCCAAUAAUUUCACUUUGCACAACUGUAUAGAUGCACAGUAAA